GGGGAAUAUUGCACAAUGGGCGGAAGCCUGAUGCAGCGACGCCGCGUGGGGGAUGACGGCCUUCGGGUUGUAAACCUCUUUCAGCAGGGAAGAAGCCUCGUUUUGUGUGCGGGGUGACGGUACGUGCAGAAGAAGCACCGGCUAACUACGUGCCAGCAGCCGCGGUAAUACGUAGGGUGCGAGCGUUGUCCGGAAUUAUUGGGCGUAAAGAGCUCGUAGGCGGCGUGUCGCGUCGGAUGUGAAAGCCCGGGGCUUAACCCCGGGUUGGCAUUCGAUACGGGCAGGCUAGAGUUCGGUAGGGGAGACUGGAAUUCCUGGUGUAGCGGUGAAAUGCGCAGAUAUCAGGAGGAACACCGGUGGCGAAGGCGGGUCUCUGGGCCGAUACUGACGCUGAGGAGCGAAAGCGUGGGGAGCGAAC
rnacentral:rRNA from 1 species